rnacentral:rRNA from 1 species
UACGGAGGGUGCAAGCGUUAUCCGGAUUCACUGGGUUUAAAGGGUGCGUAGGUGGGUCUGUAAGUCAGUGGUGAAAGCCCCGAGCUCAACUUGGGAACUGCCAUUGAUACUGCUGAUCUUGAGUAUGGUUGAGGUGGGCGGAAUGUUGCGUGUAGCGGUGAAAUGCUUAGAUAUGCAACAGAACACCGAUUGCGAAGGCAGCUCACUAAACCAUUACUGACACUGAGGCACGAAAGCGUGGGGAGCAAACAGG